UGGGGAAUAUUGGGCAAUGGGCGAAAGCCUGACCGAGCAACGCCGCGUGAGUGAUGAAGGCCCUAUGGGUCGUAAAAUUCUGUUAUAUGGGACGAACCAUACUGAUGAGGGAAACGUCAGUAUCUGACUGUACCAUAUGAGAAAGGAACGGCUAACUACGUGCCAGCAGCCGCGGUAAUACGUAGGUUCCAAGCGUUAUCCGGAAUUAUUGGGCGUAAAGAGUGAGCAGGCGGUUUUCUAAGUCUGAAGUCAAAUACAGUGGCUCAACCAUCGUUCGCUUUGGAAACUGGGAGACUAGAGUUCGGGAGAGGUAAAUGGAACUCCAUGUGUAGCGGUAAAAUGCGUAGAUAUAUGGAAGAACACCAGUGGCG
rnacentral:rRNA from 1 species